AGCAAUAUUAACAUUAAAGGGGAGAUGUAUCAUACGAGGCGUGCAGUACCUUUUUGAAAAUUGGUGCUGAUUAUAUGGUGAGGGUUGACGGGGUAGACUUGCUGCAUUUCACCGAAUGGUGGGGAAGAGGAGGUACUGUACAAGAGACCAUUUUCUUUCCUACCCAUCUUUAAAAGAGGCGCUUUAUUUUCAUCUUGACGCGCGUCGUGUUUGUCUUCAUCAAAUGACGACGUUCAGAUGGAACCAGGGUGGGAUACAUCUCAUUGUUGACGAUCUCUGAUUGUGUUUGUUUAUUAACGAGGAGACAAAGCCAAGGUUUCUGUGCGAUGCUGUGUACAAUUGCCACGCUCGACCAGACCUGUGUAAAAUGUUAGAGAAACAUUUCUUCCCUUUACCAUCUCUUCUUGUCUUCUAUGUGGCGUUUCAGGCUGCAUACUGCAAAACUAUCAGUGAACCUGACAAGCACCCAACAGUCGGGGAAUUUGACAAAAUCAGCACGGGGGGCCUCAGGUCCAUCUUGGAGGAUGCUGUUUCACCAGCUUUCGGGGCUACCAUCAUCAUCAUUCUGACAGUAGUUGUGUCUGGCAGCGCGUAUCUCUGCUUUCUAAAGUACGUCUGUGCUGGCUGCUGCACGCCCAUGCAGGUUGUUCCUACUGAGGACUUGGAGUCAAAUAAAGUGGAAGAGCAAGUGUAGUAGGCGGCACAGCAUAUUGGAAAGACUCACUUUGGGGUAAUGGAUGUAGAGAAAAACAAUGUUCAUAAAAAGUCCAUCUAAAGUGUAUUGAGUGGGAUGGGCGUGUUAUUAAUUGCCAUUAAAGAGUAUUCAAUAACAUAUUAUUUAUUUUUCAUUCACUGGAAAUAAUGUCACAAGUAAAAAUAAUAAUGCAACUGGCCAUACUUUAAUUCCUAUAGCACUGUAAAUCUGAUUUCUGACUGUUCAGAACAGUGCCCAUUUGUUGUGGUCUUGUUGGAAACAUUGUCAAAAAAUUGAGUGAAUUGUAAACAAAAAAUAAUGAACUUGCAAAAGAGAAACUAAACUUAAAAUACCCUCUUCGGUGAUUAUACUAACAUUUCAAAUAAAACAAAUUCACAAUGUUUUCUUGAUGUCUCUGACCAAAGUCAAAAGUAAAUGUAGAAGCAAUGUUUUCAAUUUCAGUGAGGUUGACUACUAAUGUUGGGGGCGUUGACUUAAAGGAUGCUACUGUAUCUUUCCAGAAUUUUUGAUACUGGACAACAAGUGUGACUGCACCUAUAAAUAGAUAUCUAGAUAGAUACAGUAGAUACUGUAAUAAUCCCCUUAGGGGAAACCCAGGUAUACCUCAUAGCUCACACAAUCAGACAAUAUACACAAAAUACAGACUAAAAAUACAAACAAUAAAACUAGAAUGAGAUAAAAAUGUUACAGUUCCAUAAAACAGUGUUGCCGUGUGCUUAAAAUCAGGAACCUCUGCCUUACACAGAGUUGGAAGGAAGGCUCUGUACCGCUCUGUUAAUUAAUAAUUAAUAAUUAAUGCUGAGCUGAAAAGUGAGUGAAAUUACAGGAGGUUCUCGAUCAAAGUACACGAGUCCCGUUCCAAGGACAGCAAUGUAAGUUGAGUUUUAGUGUAAGUUGGAAAUUCUACCUAAAUUAUUGCUAUAUCAACAUUUACACAGUACACAGAACGUACAGAGGACAUAUAAAGUACAGUACUAAAAAUUUCCGAAUUAAAUGAAUAAUAAAAAAAAGUAAUACAAAACUCCUUCUAUCCUUGCACACUGGAAGGGUCGUUGCAAGUCAGGGAGAGACACGCAUAUCGGGGAGGAUGUCUCAAUAACGAGACACCGGAGUAGACUCUUUCACAUCCCUCUAAGGAAACCAUUUUUAUCCUUCAUGACGGGCUGCUGUUGCGUUUGAGUGGCUUAGCCAAUGUUGGUCAGUAUUUCUCCACUUUCUGAACAUUUUACAACGCCUUAUUUCACUUCUCUUUUCUUUCAUUUGAUGCAGAGCCAUCAGAAGAGUCUGCCUCAUGAUUAGAGGGCAUAAUGAAGGGGAAAAUAUUGUCCUAUGUCAGUGAAGGGACACAUAAAAACUGGUUAUCUUUUUUUUUGUACAGAAUGUGGGCAAUACAAAUAUAUUUUUACCCAUUCGUUGUUGUCAAACAACCCAACAUAUUGCAGAAAAUCUCAGCGGCUGACAAAAUAGCUGUGUCCUAUGAAGAUGAACGCUUCAUGUAAACAAAGUGUUCAUCUGUAUCGCUUGUUUCAAUGCAAUCCUCAGUGGGCGUCACUGGCGAGGUUUCAGUCUCUUGUUGGACAAAGCAAUCCACAUCCGAUUGUUCAGAAAGGCUUUUUUCCUCCUCUUCCUCCACAAACCUGCCCAAAAUUAACGUGUGUAGGUUAACAUUCAGGUUGUCCGUCUCUCCAAUGUCCUCAUUCUCCUCCUCCAUCAGCUCUAGCCUUCCUUCGUGUGCAAGUAGACCGUGGUCUGAAUUCAAGAUUGAGGCUCCGUUUACCGUCAUGUGUUUUGAUGCUGCGUUCAAAGAUGUAUCAUUCCAAAUCCAGACUUGAGGCUGUGGACUAAAAAUUCCUACAGGGAAAGACAUGGAAUAUAAGUUUGACGAGCUGUUCGGUAGUGGUUCCGAGAAAGACGAAGACGACGGCACGGAGGCACAGAGAAGUUUGGAAGCCUGGCGCAUUUCAUAACCGCCACUGCUGUUUUCUGAAGAGUCCAUCUCUUCGUCUGGAGAGUGCAGAGGUGCUUUGAUGACGAGGGAAGACAAUGAUGCUUUUUGGGGCACAAGCAGAAGGACCUCUUCAGUGUGAGGGAUGGACAUCUGAGAUCGCAGAUAAAGGAAACCAUUGAGACAUUCAGUAGGAGGUUGGUCUCAUGUUUUAUGGGUCCUAUGGGUCACAUUGCUGUUGCAGCUGGACUACCCAGCAUGCCUUGCGACAUUCGGAAAUAAAAUUUUUAAGUUACGUGUUUUGUUUAGCACUUAUUUGUUGAUUUAUGUGAUGUGUUAAAUUACUGUGGAUGUGUUGUGUUUUUGUAUGAGCCAGUAUGUCGUAAUGAUCCAUGCCCCUCCAUCAAAUUACU